GGGGCUGACAGGUUUCGACGUCAGAGUUCCUGGGCGGGCGUGCGACCCGAGUUGCUCAGACUCGCUAAACGGGGCAACCACAAGAAUUGCCAACGAGCAGUUCGCUCUCGCCGCCUGAUUUUCAGGUGAUCGAAGAGACAUCGUGACCAGAAAUGGCGCACGGGGCCGAUCCACCGCAGCCCGGCAACAGAAGCGGGGGAUGACAGCAGGAAAGACGGCUGACGUCGGGAAAGACCGAUGACGAUUCGGAAAGACGAUUCGUGGGCCGCCGAGUGAUCGACGGCCAACCGACCCGCCGGUCUCCCUGCGUCAGGGAGUGAGUCGGGAAUGGUCGUAGCACGGGCGUUCAGCGCCUGAUGGACGGGAGUUCGAUUCUCCCCAGCUCCACCG
rnacentral:tmRNA from 1 species